CCCGCUGAACUUAAGCAUAUCAAUAAGCGGAGGAAAAGAAACUAACAAGGAUUCCCCUAGUAACUGCGAGUGAAGCGGGAAAAGCUCAAAUUUAAAAUCUGGUGGUCUUUGGCCAUCCGAGUUGUAAUUUAGAGAAGCGUCUUCCGCGCUGGACCGUGCACAAAUCUCCUGGAACGGAGCGUCGUAGAGGGUGAGAAUCCCGUCUUUGGCAUGGACACACCAGGGCUUUUGCGAUGCGCUCUCGAAGAGUCGAGUUGUUUGGGAAUGCAGCUCAAAAUGGGUGGUGAACUCCAUCUAAAGCUAAAUAUUGGCGAGAGACCGAUAGCGAACAAGUACCGUGAGGGAAAGAUGAAAAGCACUUUGGAAAGAGAGUUAAACAGUAUGUGAAAUUGUUGAAAGGGAAACGAUGGAGGUCAGUCGUGUCUGUGGGAUUCAGCCGUCUCUGGCGGUGUACUUCCCACAGACGGGUCAACAUCAGUUUUGGUCGGCGGAUAAAGGCAGGAGGAAGGUGGCACCCUCGGGUGUGUUAUAGCCUCUUGUUGCAUACGCUGGCUGAGACUGAGGAAUGCAGCUCGCCUUUAUGGCCGGGGUUCGCCCACGUUCGAGCUUAGGAUGUUGACAUAAUGGCCUUCAACGACCCGUCUUGAAACACGG
rnacentral:rRNA from 1 species